AUUGAACGCUGGCGGCAUGCUUUACACAUGCAAGUCGGACGAGUGGCGAACGGGUGAGUAACGCAUCGGAACGUACCGAGUAAUGGGGGAUAACUGUCCGAAAGGACAGCUAAUACCGCAUAUUAUUCGAGCGGCCGAUGUCUGAUUAGCUGGUUGGCGGGGUAAAGGCCCACCAAGGCGACGAUCAGUAGCUGGUCUGAGAGGAUGACCAGCCACACUGGAACUGAGACACGGUCCAGACUCCUACGGGAGGCAGCAGUGGGGAAUAUUGCACAAUGGGCGCAAGCCUGAUGCAGCCAUGCCGCGUGUGUGAAGAAGGCCUUCGGGUUGUAAAGGACUUUUGUCAGGGAAGCGGUACCUGAAGAAUAAGCACCGGCUAACUACGUGCCAGCCGCCGCGGUAAUUC
rnacentral:rRNA from 1 species